AAAAAGGGUGUUUGCCGCUUUGAUGGCACGCGCGCUCUCGGGCGCGCGGGGUAUGGUUAUCAAGACAUACUCAACACAUAAUUUUUUGAUCAGAGAGGCUGUUGGCUACCCCUCAUGUACCGGCGCCUCC